rnacentral:rRNA from 1 species
GACGAACGCUGGCGGCGCGCUUAACACAUGCAAGUCGAACGGAAAGGCCCUGCUUUUGUGGGGUGCUCGAGUGGCGAACGGGUGAGUAACACGUGAGUAACCUGCCCUUGACUUUGGGAUAACUUCAGGAAACUGGGGCUAAUACCGGAUAGGAGCUCCUGCUGCAUGGUGGGGGUUGGAAAGUUUCGGCGGUUGGGGAUGGACUCGCGGCUUAUCAGCUUGUUGGUGGGGUAGUGGCUUACCAAGGCUUUGACGGGUAGCCGGCCUGAGAGGGUGACCGGCCACAUUGGGACUGAGCUACGGCCCAGACUCCUACGGGAGACAGCAGUGGGGAAUAUUGCACGAUGGACGGAAGCCUGAUGCAGCAACGCCGCGUGCGGGAUGACAGCCUUCGUGUUGUAAACCGCUUUCGCCUGUGACGAAGCGUGAGUGACGGUAAUGGGUAAAGAAGCACCGGCUAACUACGUG